AGCCACUGAUGACGAACCAAAUAAUUUCUGACACCUCGUAUGAGAGCUGAACUGUAGCUCCUGAUUAUUUUUUUGGUCUGAGGCUC